AACUUUCAACAACGGAUCUCUUGGCUCCAGCAUCGAUGAAGAACGCAGCGAAACGCGAUAUGUAAUGUGAAUUGCAGAAUUCAGUGAAUCAUCGAAUCUUUGAACGCACAUGGCGCCUUCCAGUAUACCUGGGAGGCAUGCCUGUCCGAGCGUCGUUU
rnacentral:rRNA from 1 species